rnacentral:rRNA from 1 species
UUCUCAGAUCAGGCGAGGCUACCCGCUGAACUUAAGCAUAUCACUAAGCGGAGGAAAAGAAACUAACCAGGAUUCCCCUAGUAACGGCGAGUGAACCGGGAAGAGCUCAAGCUGAGAAUCUUCGGAAUUGUAGUCUAUAGGUGCGAACUCGUGCGGGGCCGGGUAUAAAUCCGUUCCUGGAACUGGGUGCCAGAGAGGGUUAGAGCCCCGUCUUUGACUCGGUCUCCCGCGCGUGGCGAGUUCUCUCCAGAGAGUCGGCUUGCUUGGGAAUGCAGGUCUAAUUGGGUGGUAAACUUCAUCUAAAGCUAAAUAUUGGCGAGAGACCGAUAGCGAACAAGUACUGUGAAGGAAAGAUGGAAAGAACUUUGAAAAGAGAGUGAAAAAGGGCUUGAAGUUGUUAAGGGGAGAAGUGGUUGGAGCAUAUCAUACGCGUGUGGGUCCCAGGGCCGGGACUUGUCCUGGCUUGUACCAUCCGCACGUGUUGGUCAGCAUCGGUUUUUGCUGGGGGAGAAUGCGGGCGUUGUUGAUCCUCUCGGGGAGAUCGGCGCCUGUGAAACCCGGGCGGAGACCGAGGCACCAAGGGCGCGCUUAGCGGCCGGCCUCCUGUGCGCGUAUUCGCUUGUGGUACACCCUCCGGGCGUGUGCUGCUUUCGGGUGCGUGACGCGGGGGAGCGCUGGACCUGCGCCCUGAAGAUGCUGGCACAAAUGGCUUCAACCAGCCCGUCUGGAAACACGGACCAAGGAGUCUAACACAUAUGCGAGUAGUAAGGUGGCAAACCUUGGAUGCGCAAUGAAAGUAACGUGGGUGGGAUCCGCAAGGUGCACCAUCGACCGACCAGGAUCUUCUGUGAAAGGUUUGAGUAAGAGCAUAUUUGUUGGGACCCGAAAGAUGGUGAACUAUGCCUGAAUAGGGUGAAGCCGGAGGAAACUCCGGUGGAGGCUCGUAGCGGUACUGACGUGCAAAUCGUUCGUCAAAUUUGGGUAUAGGGGCGAAAGACUAAUCGAACUAUCUAGUAGCUGGUUCCCUCCGAAGUUUCCCUCAGGAUAGCUGGAGCUCACGCGCGAGUUUUAUCGGGUAAAGCAAAUGAUUAGAGGCAUCGGGGGCGUAACGCCCUCGACCUAUUCUCAAACUUUAAAUAGGUAAGAGGUCCUUGCCACUUGAUUGGGCAUGGGCAUUGAAUUGGAGCUCCAAGUGGGCCAUUUUUGGUAAGCAGAACUGGCGAUGCGGGAUGAACCGAAAGUUUUGUUAAGGUGUUUAACUGUCGGCUCAUGUAGACCCCACAAAGGGUGUUGGUUCAUAUAAACAGCAGGACGGUGGCCAUGGAAGUCGGAAUCCGCUAAGGAGUGUGUAACAACUCACCUGCCGAAUGGACUAGCCCCGAAAAUGGAUAACGCUCAAGCCGACGACCUAUACAAGACCGUUGGCCCAAAUGCGAUGGGCCAGCGAGUAGGAGGGCGUGGGGAUCGUGAAGCAGCUUUGGACGUGAGUCUGAGUGAAACGGU